GGUGAACGCUAGCGGUGCGCCUAACACAUGCAAGUCGAACGCGAUCCCCCAUGAAAUUUGGAGUGCUUGCACAAAGAAUCGAUUGGAUUUUGGAUUGAGUGGCGAACGGGUGAGUAACACGUUGGUACCUGCCCUUAAGUCAGGGAUAGCCAGAGGAAACUCUGAUUAAUACCGGAUGUGCUCUUCGGAGUAAAGAUUUAUCGCUUAAGGAGGGGCCUGCGUUCUAUCAGCUAGUUGGUAGUGUAAUAGACUACCAAGGCUAUGACGGAUAACUGGUCUGAGAGGAUGAUCAGUCACAAUGAAACUGAGACACGGUUCAUACUCCUACGGGAGGCAGCAGUGAGGAAUCUUCCACAAUGGACGAAAGUCUGAUGGAGCGACACCGCGUGAAGGAUGACGGUCUAACGAUUGUAAACUUCUUUUCUGAGGGAGCAUAAUGAGAGUACCUCAGGAAUAAGGGACGGCUAAUUACG
rnacentral:rRNA from 1 species